AUUGAACGCUGGCGGCAGGCCUAACACAUGCAAGUCGAGCGAGCGGCGGACGGGUGAGUAAUGUAUGGGGACUGCCCGAUAGAGGGGGAUAACUACUGGAAAAGGUGGCUAAUACCGCAUACUAUAGGAUCGACCAUAUGGGAUUAGCUAGUAGGUGGGGUAAAGGCUCACCUAGGCGACGAUCCCUAGCUGGUCUGAGAGUAUGAUCAGCCACUCUGGGACUGAGACACGGCCCAGACUCCUACGGAGGCAGCAGUGGGGAAUAUUGAACAAUGGGCGCAAGCCUGAUGCAGCCAUCCCGCGUGUAUGAUGAAGGCCUUAGGGUUGUAAAGUACUUUCGGCAGGGAGGCGUUACCCGCAGAAUAAGCACCGGCUAACUACGUGCCAGCAGCCGCGGUAAUAC
rnacentral:rRNA from 1 species